rnacentral:rRNA from 1 species
GCCGAUGUCUGAUUAGCUAGUUGGUGGGGUAAAGGCUUACCAAGGCAACGAUCAGUAGUUGGUCUGAGAGGACGGCCAACCACACUGGGACUGAGACACGGCCCAGACUCCUACGGGAGGCAGCAGUGGGGAAUUUUGGACAAUGGGCGAAAGCCUGAUCCAGCCAUGCCGCGUGAGUGAAGAAGGCCUUCGGGUUGUAAAGCUCUUUUAGUCGGAAAGAAAGAGUCGCAAUGAAUAAUUGUGAUUUAUGACGGUACCGACAGAAAAAGCACCGGCUAACUACGUGCCAGCAGCCGCGGUAAUACGUAGGGUGCGAGCGUUAAUCGGAAUUACUGGGCGUAAAGGGUGCGCAGGCGGUCUUGCAAGUCAGAUGUGAAAGCCCCGGGCUUAACCUGGGAAUUGCGUUUGAAACUACAAGGCUAGAGUGCAGCAGAGGGGAGUGGAAUUCCAUGUGUAGCAG